GCCUCGUUAGCUCAGAUGGUUUAGAGCAGCUGUCUCUUAAACAGCGGGUCAUCGGUUCAAGUCCGAUACGGGGUAC
rnacentral:tRNA from 2 species